rnacentral:rRNA from 1 species
AGUGGACGCUGGCGGUAGGCCUAACACAUGCAAGUCGAACGGCAGCACAGUAAGAGCUUGCUCUUACGGGUGGCGAGUGGCGGACGGGUGAGGAAUACAUCGGAAUCUACUUUUUCGUGGGGGAUAACGUAGGGAAACUUACGCUAAUACCGCAUACGACCUACGGGUGAAAGCAGGGGAUCUUCGGACCUUGCGCGAUUGAAUGAGCCGAUGCCGGAUUAGCUAGUUGGCGGGGUAAAGGCCCACCAAGGCGACGAUCCGUAGCUGGUCUGAGAGGAUGAUCAGCCACACUGGAACUGAGACACGGUCCAGACUCCUACGGGAGGCAGCAGUGGGGAAUAUUGGACAAUGGGCGCAAGCCUGAUCCAGCCAUACCGCGUGGGUGAAGAAGGCCUUCGGGUUGUAAAGCCCUUUUGUUGGGAAAGAAAAGCAGCAGGUUAAUACCCCGCUGUUCUGACGGUACCCAAAGAAUAAGCACCGGCUAACUUCGUG